rnacentral:lncRNA from 1 species
GACCGUAACUUUAAGCACACGUGAGCGUCCUCAGCUGGCAGCCAUGGCUGGCGGGUCCUUCCUAGCAUGUGCUGCGGCCCUCACCUUAUCUUCCGUCAUCAGGGCACAGGCGCCGUGCAGGGCUAUUCCGAGUCCAGGUAGAGAUGGCUGAGCUCGGUGGCAGGAGAUCAGCCUGCGGUGGAGCAGGGACGUUUGCCCUGGGGAGACACGUGCCACCGGGUGAGUUAGGCCUGUUUCUGGGGGAUUCCUUUCCAACCCCAGCUAGUUCCGCCCAAGCAAGCAGAGUCUUCCCUCAAGAGAUUUUUUUUUCCUUUUACGAGAGAACGUUCGGAGGGGCUAGAACUGGGUGAUACGCACUGGCUGCGCUGAAUCUGUCUUUUCUCCCCUCCUAGGUGGACAUCGAGGCCCUGUGGGUGGCCCUACAGCGUGGAAGGGAUGACCGAGCUUUGGGACAUGUCCUGGUAAGUCAGUUGUGGAAGCUCGGUGGCCGGUGAAGCCAAACUCCGUAUCUUGAAUUCAUUUUCAGGACUAAUUCUCUCCCCUAGACUUCUGGGGACUGGGAGACUGCAGUAUGGGUCGUGCAGGAUUGGAGUGAUAUACUUAGCAAGCCUCCAGCGUGCUUGGGUCUGCAGUGACCCUGUGCAUUCCUACAGUGCUUGCCAGAACAAUUUUGAAGUGGUUUGAGGCCUUGCCCUGCCCUCUCCAGAGCAAGGUUAUAGAAAUUUCAGACAAUAUGGCAGACACCUGCCACGUGGAUAAAUUACAAGCCGGUAAGAUUUGCAAUGCUGCACUUUGGGUUUUUUGUUUUGUUUAACUGUGUGGGAUAGUUCUGCACAUGGUGCAGAGGCAAAUAAGUCAUUUCUUGUUGGUUUUGUUUUGAGGCAAGGUUUCUCUGUAGUUCUUGCUGUCCUGGAACUCAAAACAGAUCCACUCACCUCUGCCUCCUGAGUGCUGGGAUUAAAGGUGUGUAAGGCUACACCCAGCUGAAUAUUUUUCUGUGCUCCAGAGUUAGUACAAAGUAGUAAAUCCUUAAAACAGUUACAAAAUACAGCAGGAGUACCAGAGUUGGGUCUCCGGUGUUGAAGUAAAACCCCAGGUGUGGUGACACGUGGUUUUGGUUCCAUUUGGGCUCUAGGCCUUAUUUUUCUUUUUUUUUUUUUCUUUUCUCGAGACAAGGUUUCUCUGUGUAGCCCUGGCUGUCCUGGAACUCACUUUGUAGACCAGGCUGGCCUGGAACUCAGAAAUCCAUCUGCCUCUACCUCCCGAGUGCUGGGAUUAAAGACGUGUGCCACCACACCGGGCCUUAGGCCUGGUUCUUAAAAGGCAGAGAGCCUGCAGAUGGUAGAAAUCUGGCUGCUGUGCCAAUACCUAAGGAAAGCCUCCCGGCAAAAGGAAGGAAUCCCAGGUACUGGGAUUAAGGGUGUGUGUUACCACACCAGGCCCUCAUUUCAAAUCUUUAUGUUGAAAGGGAAUAAAACUGUAAUUCAUGUAAUGUAUGUUAAAUAGCCCAAAGAGUUGUUUCUGAGCUUUGAAACCUGGGGCUGAGAACAUAGCAGAACAGACCAGGACAUGCCCGGGCAAGCCCAUCGCCUCCCUAGCUCCCACCCCUCUGACCUAAGUUAAAUGUUACAGGCUGCUGAUGUGAAACCGCGCCAAUUCCUCCCCCAGCCCCACUCCUUUUCUAUAAAAACCCCUAGCUUCCAAGCCUCGUGGUCGAAUCCACUGUCUCCUGUUAUGUGAGAUACGUUUCGACCCGGAGCUCCGCCAUUAAAAAAACCUCUUGUUGUUACAUCAAGGUGUUGUGUUCUAUUCGUGAUUCUUGGGUGCACGCCGAAUCGGGAGCUGAGUGGGGGUUUCCCCACUGAGUUCUUUCAAUGUCACAUAUGUGAGUGCACUGUCACUGACUUCAGACACACCAGAAGAGGGCAUCAGAUCCCAUUACAGAUGGUUCUGAGCCACCACGUGGUUGCUGAGUUCAGGACUUCUAGAAGAGCAGUCAGUGAUAACUGCUGAGCUAUCUAUCUCCAGCCCCUUAACUCAAACCUUUAAUUGUACUUCUUUUGUGUGCGUGUCCAUGGGUAGGUAUGGGCCAAUGGAUGGCAUAGAACAUCAAGGUCAGAGAACAGCUUGCAGGAAUUGGUUUUCUCCUUUGAUAGCAGGCAUCUCUAGUCCUACAGCCUGUGUUCUUUUCUGGAGUGCCAGUCAUGACUGAGUUGUGUUGAAGGGAAAUGUCCUGUUCUUGGUAUGGAAGCUGUGGGGUAAAUGGUACGUGGACAGUUGCCAGCUUAGUGUUAAUGCAUUUGGCUCACUGACUCUUCCUUCGGUCUAGGAAACCUAAGGUGCUGGAGCUAGAAGAGACUUGAUAGCACUUCAGAGACCAUCAGGCUGUUUCGUGGAACUUCCACCAAAGAGAUGCAGAAAUGGAGACUCCAGAGCUGGAGAGAGAGAGAUGACUCAACUGUUAAAAGCACUGACUGCUCUUCCAGAGGUCCUGAGUUCAAUUCCCAGCAACCACAUGGUGGCUCACAAUUAUCUGUAAUGGGGAUCCGAUGCCCUCCUCUGGUGUGUCUGAAGACAGUGAUGGUGUACUGACAUAUAUGAAGUAAAUAAGUAAAUUAAUAAAUAGAAAUGAGACUCCA